AUUGAACGCUGGCGGCAUGCUUUACACAUGCAAGUCGAACGGUAACAGGCCGCAAGGUGCUGACGAGUGGCAGACGGGUGAGUAACACGUGGGAACCUUCCUAGGGGUACGGAACAACUCAGGGAAACUUGAGCUAAUACCGUAUACGUCCGUGAGGAGAAAGAUUUAUCGCCCUUAGACGGGCCCGCGUCGGAUUAGGUAGUUGGUGGGGUAACGGCCUACCAAGCCUACGAUCCGUAGCUGAUCUUAGAGGAUGAUCAGCCACACUGGGACUGAGACACGGCCCAGACUCCUACGGGAGGCAGCAGUGGGGAAUCUUGGACAAUGGGCGCAAGCCUGAUCCAGCCAUGCCGCGUGAGUGAAGAAGGCCUUAGGGUUGUAAAGCUCUUUUACCCGGGAUGAUAAUGACAGUACCGGGAGAAUAAGCCCCGGCUAACUCCGUGCCAGCCGCCGCCGUAAAAC
rnacentral:rRNA from 1 species